rnacentral:rRNA from 1 species
AGUAUCGCGUGGGUAAUCUACCUAGAGGUGGGGGAUAGCCUCGGGAAACCGGGGGUAAUACCGCAUGUGUCCUUGAUGACGAAAGUCGACUUGGGCAAAGGCGGGGCUCCUUCGGGACCUGUCGCCACUAGAUGAGCCCGCGUCCGAUUAGCUUGUUGGUGAGGUAAUGGCUCACCAAGGCUUCGAUCGGUAGCCGGCCUGAGAGGGUGAACGGCCACAUUGGGACUGAGACACGGCCCAG